UGGUCAAUAGAAAGAAGAGAUGGUUGGCAUCUCCCCUGACAGAGACAGAAGCAGCCUUUGGGUUUACCUAUACCAGCUUAUUUGGUUAAUGCUGAUUGCUGCCCACCUUCUUAGUGGAUCUAUAACCAGAAAUUUGA